rnacentral:rRNA from 1 species
GACGAACGCUGGCGGCGUGCUUAACACAUGCAAGUCGAACGGUGAAGCGCCUUCCUUUUUGGUGGGUGUGGAUGAGUGGCGAACGGGUGAGUAACACGUGAGUAACCUGCGCCCUUCUUCUGGAUAACCGCAUGAAAGUGUGGCUAAUACGGGAUAUUCUGGGUCUGUCGCAUGAUGGGGCUGGGGAAGAUAGUGUUUCGGUGGGGGAUGGGGUCGCGGCCUAUAAGCUUGGUGGUGGGGUGAGGGCCUACGAAGGCGGUGGCGGGUAGCCGGCCUGGGAGGGUGGACGGUCACACUGGGACUGCGGCACGGCCCGGACUGCUACGCGAGGCAGCAGUGGGGAAUAGUGCACAGUGGGGGCAAGUCUGAUGCGGCGACGCCGCGUGAGGGAUGGCGGCCUUCGGGUUGUGACCCUCUUUCGCCAGUGAAGCAGGCCUGCCUGGUUUGUAGCUGGGUUGACGGUAGCUGCAUAAGAAGCGCCGGCUAACUACGUG